GAUUUGACCAGUGGCGGCUGUUCUAUGUGGUCAGUUUGCAACUGUCUCUUGCUGGAGCACAAGGGCUGCAGGUUGGCUUGGAGACAGCACUGCUUGACAGAAGAUACCCUGCUUUCCUAAUGCUCGCAAAAGUACAAGGCCCAAGAGUAUGAACUUCCUGGAGCUGCUUUGCACUUGAUGCAGUCCUGGCCUUAGUAGAGAGGCCUGGCAAGUGGAGCUGGAGGUCUCGGAUAGAGGAGAACAUGGACACCGUGGUGCCAGCAUUCCUCAGGCUUUGAUCCUUGGACCAGCUUGAUCCUGCAUUCUUACAUUAGUGGGUGAUAGCACUGAACUUCCAGAAGCAGUGGGCUUCAUUUCAUCUGACAAAUGCUUGUAAAGUGGGUUCUGCCCUUACAAGUAAAGAACAGAGGAGCCAAAGGUUGGCUUGGAGUACUCAGAGACAGCACUGCUUGACAGAAGAUACCCUGCAAUCCUAAUGUCCUCAAAAGUACAACGCCCAAGAGUAUGAACUUCCUGGAGCUGCUUUGCACUGGAUGCAAUCCUGGUCUAAGUAGAGAGGCCUUGCAAGUGGAGCUGGAGGUCUUGGGUAGAGGAGAACAUGGACUCGGUGGUGCCAGCAUUCCUCAGAUAAUUACCGUGUAUCCGAAGCUGCUUUAUUUCAUAAUAAGGAAGGUGGGCCUGGAUAACCACAGAAGAGCAAUGUACAGUAAACUUUGCAACUUGGAAAUGCAUUUUUCCAUGAGUGAAUCUAUGAAAGUUGUUUCAGAAUUUAAAGUUCAGUGACACAGUGGUUACUCCACGUACCUUUGGCAACAUGUUAUGGAAAACUUGAAGGACUGGCAAGAUGGCUCAGCAGGUAAAGCUGUUUGACACCAAAAUCUGACCUCCUGUAUUCCAUCACCAAAUUUAACUGUGACACAGAAGGACUAACUUCAGAGAGUUGACCUCUGAACUUCCCACUCAUGCUGUGGGUUUUGUGUGCCAACACUCACACACAUAGCUGCCUACUUCAGUCAAUGACAGUGUGCUUUUAGAGCUAACAUCUUGCUACAUUUGAGAAGGUGUCUUUUGUUUGCUGCCUUGAAGUCUUCAAGCUGUCUUAUGGAAGACUGAAGAAUAUUUUCAUACAGAAAUUCAAGAAUAAGCUUCAGUUAUUAAACAAUGAGUAUCUGAAAAUCAGAAUAUGAUUUGAAUUAGUUACUUUCUCUUAUGCCUUUUACAGUUGUGUGUUUGUUGGCCUCUGCCACAAUCAUUGUCAUCAGGUCUGACCAUAAGCACAUUCACCAUUAUUUUACUUAGAGUGUUUAUGUCACUAAUUAAACACCAUGACCAAAAGC